UGGCAGCAGUGAUGAUGAUUUUCAGUCUUGCUGAUUAACUGCUGAAGGUUUUCAGUCACUACCUCAUCUGAGACUGUCA